rnacentral:lncRNA from 1 species
GGAACUGGGAAGAAUAUAGCCUGAUCAACUAUAUUUGUCCAAGAGCCGACUAACGUAUGCCAAGGAGUGUCUGCAAUGGACAACAAAUUUAAAACUUACCAAACUUAUAAACUUUAGAAUCAAACAUAACAUUUAGAAUACUAUAGGAGUAUUUUAUGCAUACGAUAGUUUAACUUUGAUGUCAACCUUAUGUGCCUUAGUUCUAGACAAUCCUUAUCUCCCUAUUCUCGUAUAAACACAAUGGCUGGAUUUCCACCUAGCAGGAGACCCCUACUACCCAUACCAGUUCCAUGUUUUAUAAAAGACCCUUUCACUUUAACCAUCGACUAACGAAACUCGAUCGAUUUAUCACGACAAACCCGACACUAACCCCAAUUCAUUUCUAGUUUCAAAACCCCGAGGUACUCAUGUGAGGAGUACUAUAUCUUUACAACCUUCCCGUAGUAUCCCCCAACAGAUCAUUUAGAAAUACCACACAUACAACGAGUCAAAUCCAAGCUCAGAAACUAGGAGUGAAUUCAACCAUGAACUUCAAAACGUAGCUGCCCUAAUGCAUCGAGUGAAUAUUCUAACAUUUAGAAGAACAUAAGUAAAUAAACCCAAAACCACACGAUCCCGAUCGAUCGAAGUGAUAGGCGGAGUAAUGAAGGUCCGCUGAAACACGCACGUUAGGAUCUAGAUUCAUAAAGGAACAAGAGGAACAAAUCGACCAGAAGCACUCACGCCUGCCCGCAAGAAUUGGAGUCCCAGUCAAAAUGCGAAUUUCGGGACGAAAUUCUCUCUAACGGGGGGAUAAUGUAACAACAGCAAAAUUCAGGUCAAAAUUUAAACUUUUAUAAAACCGUAAUUGAGUAUACUAAGUGGUAAAUAUCGUAACAAGGUUUUCAUACAUAUAAAGAACACAAAAAUCCGAGUUAUAACGAGGAAGUUAUAACCAUUCUAAAAUUCCCGACAAAACCGGCAACACCGAUUAAACGAAAAACGCGAAGUUUCAAUACAAUAGUUUUUAGCCUUAAGUAUCUAAAUGAAAGUUAUAUAUAACAUCAAACCGUGAGCGUACAUAAAAAGAACGUCCAAAUCUGACUUCGUAUGAGGAAGUUAUGAUUUUUCCAAGGUUCGGGUAUAGCAGUAGACAGCUAAAAACUCGAAAUAGAGCUCGAGAUACUUUUGACCAAAACAACCUAAAUGAGAAUCGAAGGUCUCAACAUUAGUAGCGCAACGGCGAAAAGUCUGACGAAAACGGACAUCGGAUGAAGAAGUUAUGGAAUUUUAACGGACUUUUCGUGUCCCGGCCCGUUAAAAAUAAAUAAUUAAAAAUAAAGUCAAAAUUUGCCGAUGAAGUCUAAACGAGAGUUGUAGAUCAUAUUUUUAGCUACGCGUGCAUAUAAAGAACGUCGAAAAUAGAGCUCGUAUGCGAAAGUUAUGGAUUUUACAAGUUUCCCACGAUGUGGCCAUCACUUGCCACGACGUGGCACACCCCAAAAAUGCCCUUAUAAGUAGAUUUCAAGGGCUCCGAGUUCCAUUGUUCAGUUCCUUUCUUUCUCGCGCCGAAACUCUGCGUUUAAGCCCCCGAGACCCUCCGAAAGCCCCGGUUUUCACCUUCAAGUCCCGAAGGAAGGUUUUGUGUUCUCGAGAUUCCCGAGAUUCCCGAGAAUCCCGAUAUUUUCCCGCGUUUCCAACUCUUCCUGUCGAAGUUCUGCUCGAUUCUCCUCUCGACUACUUCAAAUCAACCACUUCAAUCAAGUGAGUUCAUACCCCUACAACCACACUUUAAAUGCUUUUUAAAUGCUUUUGAAACACUUUUAAGGGGGGGAAUACAAGUAAACACACAACAAAAAUCGUGUGAAACAUCGAUCUUUUUAUAUACUUUUCAUACUGUUGUUUUAAACUAUCUUAUGAAGUUAUUAUCAUGCAAAACACCUCACAACACAACUUUACCCUCUUGGGAUACAAUAUGUUUUAUAAAUAGAAAUAGGUUUUAUUUAUACGUUUGCAUACUACAUCAUAUCAAGAGUAACCAUUUCAAAUAUAACAUGAUGCUUUUACAAGAAAACUCAACUCAUCAUCACGUUUUUGUAACACGGUAGAAAACGAAAUCAUUUCAUACGAACGAUUUUCAUCAUAUUACUCGUGAACUUGUUGUUAGCAAUCAUGUGAUGGCAUAUGGCUUUGUUUGUACCAAACGAAAGUCCUCACCUAUAACCAGAGUCUCCUGGAGGGAGAGCGUGACAAGUGUGUAUAGAUCUAUACGGGGCUGACAACUCCGCACCCUGACUGUUAGCUACAGUCCGUCAUUUGGGGUGACAAACGUCAACAUUAGGUACUGCGUCUAGUAUGGUUAUGAGGAACUCACAACACGCGGAAACAAUGACUCAUGCACGUAGUAAUACUUAACUCAAUCAUGCUCGAGGGGUAAUAACUAUAUUCUAGGGUAUUAUCGGCAUGAUCAAAACUCAGGUUAAAACACUUCCACAACUAGUUUUACUUAACAAUAAGACUGCACUUCACUUUUAGGAAAAUAAGGGAUUUUCCUGGUUCAAAUACAUUCAUUUUGUACAAUAACGAUUUACAACAUCAUUCUUUUGAGCAUGUCAUAGUUUCUUAUAGCUUACAGUCUUGGUCAUUUGAGACUGCAUUUCACUUUUAGGAAAAUAAGGGAUUUUCCUGGUUCAAAUACAUAUAGUACAUACAACAAUCUUUCAAACUCAUUUCAUACAUCUAAUAGAAAAUAAGGGAUUUUCUGGAAAACAUACAAGCACUUUCGAAUGGCAUACAUUUUCUCAAAACACCACUUAUGAACUCACCAACUUAAAUGUUGACACUUUUUCUUUGAAAUAACUUGUAUUCUCAGGAAACCGCUAGACCAGGUAGCAACUACUUUUGAAGACUAACGCGCUGGCGUUAGUAACAUAUUUUGGAUCACCAUAUUGUAUUUGAUUUCUUUUGCAAACAUGUAACAUAUACAAUCAUGUAAACUUUUCAAAUAUAUUUAUAUUAUGGUGGUGUGUACUUUCUUUACUAUUCAAUUGUUAUGAUAUUUGACAUGACGUCCUCCGCCCCCGAACGUUUCCGCCGUUCUGGUUUGGGGGUGUGACAGUUUGGUAUCAGAGCAUUGUUUAUAGUGAAUUAAGUAUAUCAAAACCAUUUUUGUUAUACAACUAUAAACACAACUGGGCAAAAACACUCUGAGUAAGAGUCAUACUUUUAAAAUUAAAUUUAUUUAGUUUUGUAAAGUAGGCAUGCAUUCAUUUCAUAUUAAUAACAUGGUCAGUAUCAUAACUAAAACAAUAUAGAAGUAUUAUAAAUAAGUUGUGCAGUGCAGGUAUGCCUUGGGACAUGUAAUCGGAACUGGGAAGAAUAUAGCCUGAUCAACUAUAUUUGUCCAAGAGCCGACUAACGUAUGCCAAGGAGUGUCUGCAAUGGACAACAAAUUUAAAACUUACCAAACUUAUAAACUUUAGAAUCAAACAUAACAUUUAGAAUACUAUAGGAGUAUUUUAUGAAUACGAUAGUUUAACGUUGAUGUCAACCUUAUGUGCCUUAGUUCUAGACAAUCCUUAUCUCCCUAUUCUCGUAUAAACACAAUGGCUGGAUUUCCACCUGGCAGGAGACCCCUACUACCCAUACCAGUUCCAUGUUUUAUAAAAGACCCUUUCACUUUAACCAUCGACUAACGAAACUCGAUCGAUUUAUCACGACAAACCCGACACUAACCCCAAUUCAUUUCUAUUUUCAAAACCCCGAGGUACUCAUGUGAGGAGUACUAUAUCUUUACAACCUUCCCGUAGUAUCCCCCAACAGAUCAUUUAGAAAUACCACACAUACAACAAGUCAAAUCCAAGCUCAGAAACUAGGAGUGAAUUCAACCAUGAACUUCAAAACGUAGCUGCCCUAAUGCAUCGAGUGAAUAUGCUAACAUUUAGAAGAACAUAAGUAAAUAAACCCAAAACCACACGAUCCCGAUCGAUCGAAGUGAUAGGCGGAGUAAUGAAGGUCCGCUGAAACACGCACGUUAGGAUCUAGAUUCAUAAAGGAACAAGAGGAACAAAUCGACCAGAAGCACUCACGCCUGCCCGCAAGAAUUGGAGUCCCAGUCAAAAUGCGAAUUUCGGGACGAAAUUCUCUCUAACGGGGGGAUAAUGUAACAACAGCAAAAUUCAGGUCAAAAUUUAAACUUUUAUAAAACCGUAAUUGAGUAUACUAAGUGGUAAAUAUCGUAACAAGGUUUUCAUACAUAUAAAGAACACAAAAAUCCGAGUUAUAACGAGG